CCUUUCCCCCGGGACGCAGCAGUGAGGAAUAUUGGUCAAUGGCCGAGAGGCUGAACCAGCCAAGUCGCGUGAGGGAAGAAUGUCCUAUGGAUUGUAAACCUCUUUUGUCAGGGAGCAAAGUCACCCACGUGUGGGCUCUCCCUCUUCCCUUCCUCCCCCUCCUCCUCUCACUCCGUGCCAGCAGCCGCGGUAAUACGGAGGAUGCGAGCGUUAUCCGGAUUUAUUGGGUUUAAAGGGUGCGUAGGCGGGUUAUCAAGUCAGCGGUAAAAUCGUGGAGCUCAACUCCAUCCAGCCGUUGAAACUGA
rnacentral:rRNA from 1 species